rnacentral:rRNA from 1 species
CCUACGGGUGGCAGCAGUAGGGAAUCUUCCACAAUGGGCGAAAGCCUGAUGGAGCAACGCCGCGUGGGUGAAGAAGGUCCUCGGAGCGUAAAACCCUGUUGUUAGAGAAGAAAGUGCGUGAGAGUAACGGGUAACGUUUCGACGGUAUCAAAACAGAAAGCCACGGCUAACUACGUGCCAGCAGCCGCGGCAAUAAGUAGGUGGCAAGUGUUAUCCGGAUUUAUUGGGCGUAAAGGGAGCGCAGGCGGUAUUUUAAGUCUGAUGUGAAAGCCGUCGGCUUAAACGGAGUAGUGCAGUGGAAACUGGUAGACUUGAGUGCAGGAGAGGUGUGUGGAACUCGUGGUGUAGCGGUGAAAUGCGUAGAUAUCAGGAAGAACACCGGUGGCGAAGGCAGCUCUCUGGUCUGUAACUGACGCUGAGGUUCGAAAGCGUGGGUAGCAAACAGGAUUAGAUACCCUGGUAGUC